rnacentral:rRNA from 1 species
UGCGUAGGCUUAAGAGUUAGGUAAAUCCGGCUCUUUUUAAGGCUGAGACACGACGUCGAGCUACUACGGUAGUGAAGUCAUUGAUGCCAUGCUUCCAGGAAAAGCCUCUAAGCUUCAGAUUGUAAGGAAUCGUACCCCAAACCGACACAGGUGGUCGGGUAGAGAAUACCAAGGCGCUUGAGAGAACUCGGGUGAAGGAACUAGGCAAAAUGGUACCGUAACUUCGGGAGAAGGUACGCUCUUGAUGGUGAAGUCCCUUGCGGAUGGAGCUGACGAGAGUCGCAGAUACCAGGUGGCUGCAACUGUUUAUUAAAAACACAGCACUGUGCAAAAUCGUAAGAUGACGUAUACGGUGUGACGCCUGCCCGGUGCCGGAAGGUUAAUUGAUGGGGUUAGACUUCGGUCGAAGCUCUUGAUCGAAGCCCCGGUAAACGGCGGCCGUAACUAUAACGGUCCUAAGGUAGCGAAAUUCCUUGUCGGGUAAGUUCCGACCUGCACGAAUGGCGUAAUGAUGGCCACGCUGUCUCCACCCGAGACUCAGUGAAAUUGAAAUCGCUGUGAAGAUGCAGUGUACCCGCGGCUAGACGGAAAGACCCCGUGAACCUUUACUACAGCUUGGCACUGAACAUUGACCCUACAUGUGUAGGAUAGGUGGGAGGCUUUGAAGCACGUACGCCAGUAUGUGUGGAGCCGUCCUUGAAAUACCACCCUUGUAGUGUUGAUGUUCUAACGUCGACCCCUUAUCGGGGUUGCGGACAGUGCCUGGUGGGUAGUUUGACUGGGGCGGUCUCCUCCCAAAGAGUAACGGAGGAGCACGAAGGUGGGCUAAUCACGGUUGGACAUCGUGAGGUUAGUGCAAUGGCAUAAGCCCGCUUGACUGCGAGAAUGACAAUUCGAGCAGGUGCGAAAGCAGGUCAUAGUGAUCCGGUGGUUCUGAAUGGAAGGGCCAUCGCUCAACGGAUAAAAGGUACUCCGGGGAUAACAGGCUGAUACCGCCCAAGAGUUCAUAUCGACGGCGGUGUUUGGCACCUCGAUGUCGGCUCAUCACAUCCUGGGGCUGAAGUCGGUCCCAAGGGUAUGGCUGUUCGCCAUUUAAAGUGGUACGCGAGCUGGGUUUAGAACGUCGUGAGACAGUUCGGUCCCUAUCUGCCGUGGGCGUUGGAAGAUUGAAGGGGGCUGCUCCUAGUACGAGAGGACCGGAGUGGACGAACCUCUGGUGUUCGGGUUGUGUCGCCAGACGCAUUGCCCGGUAGCUAAGUUCGGAAUCGAUAACCGCUGAAAGCAUCUAAGCGGGAAGCGAGCCCUGAGAUGAGUCUUCCCUGAUACUUUAAGUAUCCUAAAGGGUUGUCGGAGACUACGACGUUGAUAGGUCAGGUGUGUAAGUGCUGUGAGGCAUUGAGCUAACUGAUACUAAUUGCCCGUGAGGCUUAACCAUACAACACCCAAGGGGUUU